GAAAAACUCCCUUAUAAACAACUGAAUCAGGUGCUGAGCCUGUGAUAUACUGAAUGAAGGUUCAGACGUCACUCAUCAUGUGGCUCUCGCCAAACGAACCAAGCCUCGACACAGUGCUUCUGAAGGAGUGUGUUAUUUUUUUGGACACAUGCGCUUCAACUUCAAAUGGACCAUCACUGCUGUAAACCCAAAAUGUCUGCUGAUUCUUCUUAUUUACACCCUUCUUUGACACUUGAGCCAGACUACUUCCCACACAAGGAGAGAAAAGAGUGUGAGAGAACUUUACUCAGAGAUAGAGAAAGAUGUAACAAAAGAAAGGACAGGAAAGGAAGCCGAGAGCUUAGAUUUAAACGUAAGGAGUGCUCAUUCAUGCUUGAUAAACUGCAGACUUAAAGAUUACAUGUCAUGUUGUCAUUUGUAAUCAUAUACUGGAUCUGUAUGUGACAUGUGUUUAACCCUAAAAGAUCGUUGGGUUUCCCCACCUGUGAAUCGCACUUUAACCCUGGACUAUACUAGUUUUGUGAUUAGACGUGGAGGUUUAAAUCAGACAACAGAAUCUUUUUGUUUCUUUUACUGCUUGGUUCCUACAUAACAGCUUCACUCUGACCACUUUCAUUAGAAGUACAAUCCAGAUUUAAAUAACAUUUGUAUUCUUGUAUACUAAAAUUGUUUUGUUUUUAUAUUAAUAUAGCACAAGUUUCACAUACAUGUGCUUAAAAACAAAUGGUAAAAAUACUUUUAAGGAGCUACUUUUUUUUUACUUGGAGUACAUUUCAGAGGCUGUUUUUUUCACUUUCACUUUUACUUAAGUUGACACAUGUAUCUCUAUCUCUAAAGUUUUAACUUUUUAAAGUUAAAGAAAAAAUCUGCACAUAAGCGGCUUCUGUGGGGACCCCUUUCCCUUCUUGAGACAUAUCUCUCUCUUUUGAUUUUCUUUUUUCUCUUUUGAAUUUGAUUUAAAACAGGAACUAUAUUUUCCUCAUAAUGGUGGCCAGUAAUGAACUGUUCAUGUUCCACCUUCAAUAAAAAUCAAAUGAGCUCACCUUAGGCACAUCUAGGCAACAUUGGGGAGGGAGCUGCUGCUGCUUCGCUCACUCUGACUGUAUCUGAAAUUAAUAGCCAUACAUCUAUUUGGAUAGACAUAGUGUCACAGCUAUCACUGGCUUGCUGUCUUUAACAGCUGCCGAUAGCUAAACUAUUCUUAAUCUGUUAAUUGUAUUCUGUUCACUUUUCUUUUGAAAAAAAAAUAUUAUACCUGACUGCUCCCAGUUUGCUUUUUUGUUGGUCAUUUUCAUAUCUAUAAUUUGCCUGAGAACUUGCCUUGAUUGGCAGCUGUAGCCAAUCAAAAUUACUCUAAGAGUGCAUUGAUGAUUUAUCUACAAGGUCACAAAAGAAUCUAGAACAACAUCUAAAGAAUAGCAGGUGUCACAUUUCUUACUGAAGGUCAGGGUUAAUGAUUAAACAACAACAAGGAGAUCAAAUAACCAUCCUCUGUCCUUUUGAACAAUACUUUUUAAAAACACUAACUGGAAAUGCUCUUGGCUUUUACAUAGAAAGUUCCUUCUGAUCAAACCAGUACUGGAGGUGACAUUUUUGUUAUUAUUAUUAUCUUUUUUAUUAUUAUUAAUAAUAACUGUUAUCCUGUGUAUAUAUAUAUAUAUAUAUUCUUGAACCAAAAAUACAAACUGGAAUUGGAUGAUUUUUGCACUGUGUGCAUUACAUAAUGAAACAGUGAUUCAUCUUUUGAGGAACUGCACCCACAAAAAAAUCUCCUGGACUGAUAGGAUGACCUUUGUUCAUGAAAAUGUAUUGCCAUGUCAGUGCAAUGCAGUGUGCAUUUUCCCCCGUUAUGGAAAAUGUGUCAUUCAUACGAUGGCGUUUUCACAACAAGGACUAACGUUUAGCGUAUUUUUAGUCUUUAUACAAAUAGCAUGAAAGUUAGAUGUAAUCUCAAAGGAAAGGUAUCUCUGGCAUUGCUUGUGCUCUUGGUUUAUGUUAAAUUGGGUAAACUGUCUACAUGAAUUAAGAGAUUCUAAAUUCCUGUUUCAAUUGAUUCUCACUUCCUGAUUUUUUUUUAACGUAAUUUAAAUUUUUGACUUUCUUUGCAGUUUCUCUGUAGGGAACACCUACAUUUUUAAAUAUUAUAAAGGUCUGUCUCUCUUCAAUUGUUAAUUGUACAAAUUUGUCCUUUAAAAAGAUGCUGAUGAACCUGAAAAAAAAUAAUUCUAACAGUCCAGGACAUUCUUGUUUGGGUGCAAUUCCUGAAAGAUGAAUCACUGUUUCAUAAUGAAUUUUAUAAAGCGAAUCUACGAUAAGAUAAGAUAAAAAAAAAUCUGAGGGUGAUCCGAGCAAGCAGGAGGACAGGCAGGUUGCAGACGCGAAUGCUGGAUCGUAACCACUGAGGGGUGAUUGACGGACAGGCGUGGAGCAUCCGUCAGCGCAGGGUUAAACGGUCCUCCAGGUAAUUGUCCAGAAUGGAAAGCAGGUGUGCAGGGCAUCACACACACUCCUCAGACACAGGGCCACGGACCAUGACAGUUCAAUUACAGUUCAAUUACAUUUUUUUAGCUGAGUCUACAUAAAAUGCCACAGAUGGGAUACAGUUUGAGAUGCAUCAAAUAAUAUGACUCAGCUGGGUCUUAGCUGAAGACUUGGCAUAUCUUAUGGUGUGCAGUUUGUCCUUAAAUAUUAAAAUAUGACACAACGCCAUUAUUUAACACGUGCUGUUUGCUGAAGCUUCACAAGAAAUGGUUUAAUGGAAGUAUGGCAGUCAAGAAGAUAAACAUAAGGUAAACAGGGAGGGAAAAAAAGUUAUUCCGAAUUACCAACAGUAUCCAAUACCAUCUAGAAAUUAAGAUUGGCAACAACUUAAUUUUUCAACAUGUUGUUGAUCCCAAACUGAGCACAUUAAAAAAAUGCAUUCCACUACUAAAGCAAAAGCAAAUCAAUGACUCCCCAAAUCGGUUGCUCACAAAUUACAUGGAAGAACUGGUCACAGCUGUUUCCUGAUCCACAGCUUGAAGGGAAAAAAGGUAUACAACAAAAUUCUAGUGUUUGUCACAGAAGAUGGUACUUGUCUCCUGAAGCGAACAAUAAUUAUAUGUUAAUAAAGAAAGAUUAAUAUACAUGAAGAUAACAACAAAUAAAAGUGAAAAUAGUUGCAGUGCAAUAGAAACACUUUAUGUUACUAAAGUGAUUUAAUAAUAAAGAAUAACUUUAAAAUUAAUCCUAGAAACAAUAAUGUGAUUCUUUGUCGGAGUUGUGUCUCUGUGUUCAGUCUGUGGAUUUCCUGUUUUAUUUUGAAGGUUCAUGUCUUAUGUCAGUGUUUCCAGUUUCGCUUCCUGUCUCAUUAGGUCUAAUUUCUCCAGGCUGUGUUCCCACCUCUUCCUCAUUCCCUCAUGAUCUUGCCUGUGUCUUUAUAGUGUGUGUCCUCCAGUGUUCAGCGUUGCGUUUUACCCUUAAUGAGCUGUGUGUUUUGCUUCCGUGGUCCCUCGUUUUCAGGUUUUUCUAAUGUUUUAUUAGCCUCAUGUUUUCAGUUUAGGUUUGUUCUUGUGAGUUUAUGUUUGGAGUUUCUGCCACAGCACAAUAAAGCUGCCUCUCUUUGUUCACUGUGAGUCCAGUGUUUGGGUCCUCUUCUCCUGUCUGCGCACAGCACACCAUGACAGCAGCACUAUCAGUCACCGAUUUACCUCUUCAGUGCUUGUAUCUGAAAGUUGUUUAAGCAGCGCAGGAUCAUCUUGAGAAAUCCCUGUGAAAAAUAAGGCUAGACUAGUAUUUAAAAGCACCUGCCUUGAAGGUUUUUAGAUUUUUCGGACGUUCGUGAUGAAACUAUUGACAUUAGUGUCAAACAAUGUUUAUUAAUUCCAACAAAAGAUAUAUGAACCCCCGAUUUUUCCUCUCAAAUAAAAGAUGGUCAGGAUGCAAGGGCAGUGGGACAUGUUUUUUCUGCUAUGUGGAAAAUAAAGUGUUAGUAAUGUAAUGUCAAAUGUGCAAAUUAAAGUCCUCAAAAAACAAUUCAACCUAGGGAAAUAUUAGACACACGAGCAGCACAUAAUUCAUAUUUUGGACUAAGAGGAAUCUUUGGUAAGGAUUUGUUCAAUUCAUUUCAAUUUUAUUUAUAUGUCAC
ensembl:lncRNA